AUUUCCUGAAGCCUCCCAAGAAGCUGAGCAGUUGUUGCCAUGCUUCCUGCACAGCCUGCAGAAUCAUGAGCCAAUUAAACCUAUUUUCUUUAUAAAUUACCCCAGCCUAAGUUAUUUUUUACAGCAAUGUGAGAACUGACUAAUACAACUGGAUUCCAUAGAAUCCUUGGAAUUUGUUUCAACAUUCUUCUGAAUCUCAAGGAUCUUAAUUGCUAUCCAGACUCCAGAUUCUAUGUCUUUUACUUCAGCUAUUUCCUUCUGAUUAAUAACCAUUGCUGGAGAGCUGUUGUGGUGUUUGGAGGCAUAUCCUGAUCAUCAUCUACUAGAACAGCAAGAGAAGAUAAAACUGGAUGUGCGAGUUCAAAGGUCUACAUUUUGCAAUACGAGAGAACAGCUGAAUUGAACUAGGGAGACAUGAAUUUGUCAUGAAUAAAUCUUGCAGAAGGACUGUAUUCAAACUAUGGAGAUAUGAUAUACAGUGAAUAUAUUUGUGGUUAGCAAAAUGAUGUUACAGUUUUAUGAUAAUAAAUUUCUUAUAAAAAAGAAAGAGUUCUAAUUUAUUGUAUUAUCUUUAGUAUCUUGCACAGUUCUGGCAUGAAUUAGAUAUUAAAACUUUCUACUCCAAAUUAAGCAAU
rnacentral:lncRNA from 10 species